rnacentral:misc_RNA from 1 species
UUUUUUUCUUUUUUUUUUUCUUCUUCUUCUUCCUUUCGACGGCCACUGUGAGUUUGGAUUCCUGAAAACGAUCGGUUAAACUUUUCUUCAGGAUCGAAUCAGAUCUAUUCUGUGUCAUUUGGGUUUCUUUUCCUUUUUGUUUCUUUCAAAAAAUUUCCUAAUGGAUUAUGACGAUUUUGGUUUUCCACCACUGGGUUUUCUCUGCAAUUUCUAGCGUUUUUUCCCCCUUCUCUUUUGUUUAUUGUCAGAGUCUGGAAGUGGAAUAAUAAACUUCCGUCGUAGAUCCGUUUCUGUUUCCAGAGUCCACUGCUGAAAACGAGAACAGAUUGUUUAUCGGGAAGAUAACCUUUCUCUCAAUCGCCGAUUCUUCUAAUCGGACUCAGUUUUUCUUUAAAAAAAAUGGUUCGGUUGGAUUUAGAUGAUUUCCGAACUAUAUUAGAUACAGCCGGUGUCGAUGUUUGGACUUUCAUUGAUACCGCAAUGGAGGUCGCUUCAUUAGAUUACGGUAAUCAAUUGAAGAAUCGGAGAGAUGG